rnacentral:rRNA from 1 species
AUCCCUUUCCCCUCGCACCCCACACGCUCUCCCUCCCGAGCUCAGCCGCUCGCUGCCGUCACCGUGUCGACGUCGAUGCCGCGCAAGCUUCCCCAUGGCGCCAGAAGAUGUCCAGGAGACGGGCCUCUUCGUAUUCGUUCUCUACGUGAACCUACUCGAGCUGGAGCACCCUGGAGCCGCCGCCAUCGACCCAUCCCCUUCGGCCAUGGACUCCCGCGCCGCCGUUCGAUCCGUUCGCCUCCGACCACCUCGUGCCACCCCGAGCUCGUCAAUGCGUUCACUACCCCGAGACCGCUGCCGGUACCCCUGUGAUCGACUACAUCGACGACGAACCCUUCUCUUGCCAGAUGAACCAGGCAAGCCCCCCCCCUUGAUCACCAGAUAUCGCCUAUUCUUCUCUAUACUGCUUGCAUUAGAGUAGUGUAGCAUGUU